GCCCGCGCCUCUCCCCACACACCUCCCCGCCAGCAGAGGGAGCCGGCUCCGGCCUCAGCCAGCCCCAGGACGGCCCCUAGGGCACAUCGGCGGGCGGAAGGGCUCCUGGGGCGCGGGCAGAGCGGACGCCGAGGCCAAGGAGGCACCGAGAGCCAAGAGCGAGCAAGGGCUCGCACGUUUUCACCUCUCAAUAGGAGGAGGUAAAGGAAAUUUUACCUACAAAAUAGCAGUACUAAGCUUUACAGCUGACAUUACAACAGCAACAAGACAAGGCUAGUGAUAUGCAGUAUGAUGCUCUCUCCAGCUGCUAUGCAGUCAGCCAGGAAAUCAGUAGGAUAAACAACCGACAUUCUUCAGCUUACCGUGUUGUCAGAUGAUUCUGCCCAGCUGCAGGCUAAUGUAAGUGUCCUGAGGAUGUUCAAGAUGUGUGUAACAUCUACAAUCAGUUGACUUUAAGUAAAGGAGAUUAUCCUCUGUACCAUGAGUGGGCCUUAUCUAAUCAAUUGAAGCCCUCAGGAACAAAUGGAAUUUUCCAUGAGGAAGAAGAAAUUCCAGCCUUAAAGCCUGUCUGAGAGUUUCCAGCCUGCCAGCCUAUCCUGCAGAUUUCAGACAUUCCUAUCCAGAUCCCAUGAUCAUGCAAGCCAAGGUCAAGUCCUUGAAAUAUAUCCUUUUACACACCUGCCCUCCCCACACACACACACACAUAUAGGAUAUACAUAUAUACCUUCUAUUGGCUCAGUGUUGGCCUGGUGGAUACAGACAUCCUAUUAAUUAUUCAUUGUAUUCCUCUUAUAUCAUAUCGACCUCAGCCUGACAACAUACCAGAUCUAAGUUUUGGAGGGACAGAUGAAGUUCCUGAUACAUCGCGUAUGUCCUGAUAUACUUGAUAGACCUUAAGUAUUUAUAUUUAACAGAAUGAAACCAUGAUCAUUUUGAAGCAAAAGAUAUCUAAAGUUGGAAUGAGAAACUUAAAUGAUUUCUUUAUGAAUAUAAGAUAAUUUACUUGGAUGUCAUCCUUAGAGUAGCUUAAUUUUAAGGAUAUUUUUUCUUCUCUAACUAUACUAAGUCAACAGUGGAAAAAUCCCUAAACUCUGGAGGUGUUUUUAUCUUACCAGUCUAUCUAAGACACCGUCAAUCAUAGUCGCUAUUGAAUUUGGCAUUUCAAUUCUUCACUGUCACUUCUCAUUAAUUAUUGGUUCUAAUACUGUCUUUGAUGACUUCUUCCUUGUCAUUUUACUUCAUGAACUCAUUAUUUCUAAUUGCUAUUUUAUGCCACUCUUUGGUUCAUCAGUUUUUAAUGUUCCACUUAAUUGGCUCCAUUGUUUAAAUGAUAUGAGGAAAAAUGGGGUUAAAUUUAUCAUUUAUCUGAUACAUUCUGGUAUGAGAGAGCUUAAUUUGGUUGUUCCAUUUUCUAGAUAGAAAAAGUAAGGAAAUAUUUUCUGCAUUCUAUUCAGAUUGUUAUUGCUGAAGUCAUCUUAUACUAUGACCUUUUAAAAUAUUUUCGAAGGCUUUAGAAAAAAAUUACAGGUACACUGACAUUUGCUUAUUGUGAAAUGUUAUAUCAUGUUCCUUUUUAUGUUGUAAUUUGUAGUAUUCCACAUGACAGUUUUUUUGUUAAUUGUAUAUCGGGUCUCACAUUCUUAUAAUUUAUCCAAGAAUUAAAGAAGACAAGUCAAAGAAUUGGUUUUAACAUGCCAAAAUAUGUCAGGGAUAUAUCUGUGGAUUUAAAGUUAAAGAAAAAUUACUAGAAAAAAUAGAUAAAUAUUAAAGAAGUAUUUAAUGUUUAUAAUAGUGCAAUUUUUUACAUAAAAAACAAAGUUUGUAAAAUGUAAGCAGGGAUAUUUUAUUGUUAAUGUUAACGUAAUGAAAAUAAAAGUGUGCAUUUUGUAAGACAAAGAAUGUAAAUCAUAGUAAAUCUAAAAAUUCGUUGAUUUAAAUACCAUAAUAUUCUCAAUUUAUGAAACCCUCCUUCAAACAGAUGGAAUUUAAAUAUAUGACUUGGCUAUCUUUGACUCUAAAUGUAUUUAUAUGAGUCCCACAUGUUAAAUUUAUUCCUGGAGAUUAUCAUGACCAAUAGAAGACUUUUAUAUAUGUGUCACAAUAAGCAUGAAAUAAUGUGAUCUCUUUCUCCUUUAUUAUAUACCCUUGCAGCCACCAGACUACAGUAUGUGACUUAAAUCCCACAGAGAUAUUUUACACUGAAAGUUUGUCUUAAAUUGUCUUGCAAAUCUUUUUGAACUCUACACAAAAUGGUUAUUCUAAUUCUCAGAGUACAGCCACAAGCUAGGUAGGUGUAGAUCGUGGCACAUGGGCAAAAAUAUGGUGGGUGUAACUGGAACCACACUGGAUAAAAGGAAAUUUGUCAUCGCAAGUAUCUUAAGAAUGAAAAAUUUUGAGGCAGUAUUUUAUUAUUUGCAAUGAAUUUAUGUUAGUGAACUGACAUAUAAAAUAAAAUUUUAUACAACAUAUAAUUGCUUAAAAUCACACAUACUUGGAAAUUAAGCUCAUGGGAAAGUUUUUGCAAAAACAAAUUUUAUGCGAAUUUUUGACGUUGGUAAAAUAUUUAUAACAAAAGUUAAUAUUUAUGGGGCUCUCUCAGAAUUUUCAGUCUAAAUGUAAUAGGAAAACAAAUUCCAAUAUAUAUCCAAGAAUCGUAGAGAGCAUGGCGACAAUAUCAGCACGGAUUUCUGUUAAAAAUAAAGAGAAUAAUGACUUCCAGCUCCAUCCGUGUCCCUGCAAAGGACAUGAUUUUGUUCCUUUUUAUGUCUGUAUAGUAUUCCAUGAUGUACAUGUACCAUAUUUUCUUUAUCCAAUCUAUCAUUGAUGGCAUUUGGGUUGAUUCUAUGCCUUUGCUAUUGUGAAUAGUGUGCAAUGAACAUAAGCGUGCAUGGAUCUUUAUAAUAGAAUCAGCAAACUAACGCAGGAACAGAAAACCAAACACCACAUGUUCUUACUUAUAAGUGGAAGCUAAACAAUGAGAACACAUGGACACAUGGUGGGGUAAACAUCACACACUGGGGCCCGUCAGGGGCAGUGGGAGGGAGAGCAUCAGCAAGAAUAGUUAAUGCACGCUGGGGUUAAUACCUAGGUGAUGGGUUGAUCUGUGCAGCAAAGCACUAUGGCACACAUUUACCUAUGUAACAAACCUGCACAUCCUGCACAUGUACCCCUGAACUUAAAAUAAACGUUGAUGAAAAAAUGAAAGAAAUAAAAUACAAAUGGAAUGUGAAAGAUGGAGCUGUUGCUUUGCACAUCCAGUUGGCUGAAAAUAGCUAAUACUAGUUGCUCUGAUGCCCUUUUAAUUCGGCAUGUAGAGCUAUAACUUCAUUUCAUGGUUAGAGAUUAGUAAACAUAAAAUCUCACUUCCUAAAUCUCUGAUUUACAUCUACUGAUGUAAUAGUUGAUAUUCUAAAGUCAGAAAUGUUCCCAUACUCUCUAUCUCUACUAUGUGUUUUGCAAGUCCCCUUUUUAAAGAAUCUUGUUCCUCUUAAUGAAUUCAGGAAAGAAAGACCAUUUAAUACACAUGGAAGCAUUAUUUGUCAACAUUAUGUUACAAAAAUAUGUUUUUAUUUUACCAGCUUUAUUAUAUGGAGUAAUUGGCACACACUAAGCUGCACUUAUUGACAGUGUACACCUUGAGAAAAUUUGACAUAUGCUUAUAUCUGGUGAAUGCAUUUCACCAAGAUUUCAGACACGUCAAUAAUUCCACAAAGUUUCUUCAUGCCUUUUUUAAUCCCAUCCUCCUACAAUUCACCUCUAUUUCAACCUCAGUCAAUCACUGAUCUACUUUCUGCUGCUACAGAUUAGUUCAAAUUUCUUGGUAUAUAUUUGAAUUCAUAUACUAUGUAUUCUUUUUUUUCUUCUGGAUUCCUCACUCAGCAUAUUUUCAGAUUCAUCCAUAUUGCAGUGUAUAGUUGAUUCAUUUGAAUAUAUGACUAGCAUUCCAUUGUAUGUAUGUACCAUAAUUUGUUCAUCGGUACAUAUGGAAAUGGACUUUGGAAUUGCUUCCAAAUUUCAUCUAUUACAAAUAAAGCUAUUAUGAACUUUUUAAAAA